GCUAAUGGGCCAAGCCCAACAUGGCCGGCCCAUCUGGAGACCCAGAGGUGGUGAUCGCCAGCUGCGGCGGUUACAACCGCCUGACAGCCACGAUCACCACCAUUCUUCUCCCCCACUCCCCCACACCAGGGCUAUAAGAACCUAGGAGUCUUCUCAGAGAUGCUUCAUCCCUCACCCUCUCACUGCCUCUCACUCCCUCUUUCUCCUGCUACAAGGAGCUGGAUCGGGAGCGGCGGAGGAGGAGACACCCCCAGCUCGGCACCAUAACUGAGCCGCCGGAGGAGACACAGUGGCUCGCCGGAAAGGAUUCACAGCUCCUAGGAGCUAGGUAAAUUUCUUAUCACCAAUGUUCAUGAGUUACAUUCGGUCGAUCUAGUUUAAUCAUGGAACAACAAAACAGAGAGACAACGAAAUAGAAGAGAUCAAAAGAAGAAAAGGAAGGGUAGGAAUAAGAUGCAGUGGAGGAAGGGGGGAGAUCUCACUCGUGAUCUGACAUUGGCCAAAGAUCUUUCUCCUUCAUCUGAUCAUGGCUUUUACCACUGCAAUCAAAACCCUAGGUCUAAAAUCCUAAAAUGCAAACAUACCAUGGAAGGGUCCUCGGCUCAUGCAAAUCCGAUUUCCAUGGGUGGAAUCGGUUUGAUCUCAGCCGGAGGUGACCGGAGAAGAAGAAAGUGAAGAGGAUUCUCCCAUCUCCCAGUCGUGGACGCCAUCGGGUUGACCACGGGCGGCAGUCGCAGAGCCGGCCGUGGGCUGUGCGGGCACCCUGGGUGUGGCCGCACACCCUGCAUUCACCACCGGCUUCGGCUGGUUUCUCUGCUCCUCGAAAAGUGCCCGUGCCCUAUCUCCUCCAUCGGAGGUGGAGGAGAGCGGCCAGUCGGGCCGCGGCUGCUGCGGAUCGGACCGUGGCCGCAGCGCCACCGAUUCCGGGUCGGCUUCCUCCCGAGCAUUUCCGAGCUUGCCCCUUGCCCCAUGGGAAGAGAGGAGAAGAAGAGGGAGGGGAGAUCGGAACGGGAGGAAGAAAGGAGGAGAAGAAGCUUCGGGAAGGGAGAAGAGAAGAAAAAGAAAGAAAAAGGAAAAGAAAGGAAAAGAAGAAAAGAAAGAAAAGAAAAGAAGAAAGAAAAAUAAAUAAAAAAAUGGCUGUGGGCCGAAAUGGACCUGAUUCCGGAGUGGGCUUCAAAUAAAUUUGGCUUUAGAAGCCUGAGGCCAGGUUGGGCCCUGGUCCGAGCCCAGUGUUCUUAAAACCAAAACUAACUGGGCCUGAAGAGCUCAAAUUUUAAUAUAGGGACUAUAUUGAAUAUAGUUUGAGGCUAGGUUCUCUUUAAAUUAAUUAGAACUGAUAAGGUAUAAUUAUAAAUUAAUCAAUAGUAUUUUUGGGCCUGAAUAUAAGUGGGCCCAGUAAUUGAAUCAGGCCAAGAGCCUGAUCGAGAACCCAAUUAAACAUCGGGCCUGAAUGCAAAUGGGCCCAGACCUGAACCAGGGGGCAAUUUGGUCUAAACCAGAAGUGGAAUUGGCUCAGACCUGAACCAGAAGCUGAAUCAGACCUGAGCCAGAAAUUAAAUCAAACCCGAACUAGGAAGUAAAUUAGACCAGAACUAGAAAUUGAAUUGGGCCAUGGGCCUGAACCAGAAAUUAGACUAGGCUAUGGACCCGAAAAUGAAAUUGAGUCCUAUGGAUGGGUUGUAAAUGAUUUUAAGAUUAUAAAUAAAUAGAAAUUAAAUGUGUAAGUGACAUGUAAUUUAAUGAUCUUGCUAGGUAUUGGAGAAUUGGCAUUUGAUGGGCAAAUUAAGGUAAGUAACCUGCCUUAAUCUUAUUAUGGAUCAUGUAUCAUNN
rnacentral:lncRNA from 1 species